ACCUACAGUACAAAAGGCGGACUUAAUGCCACUAGGCAUUCUCUACCAGUCAACCUGCUUAGCCUUAAGGAGAGAGAUUGUGAGUAUUAUAAAUGCCUUACGGGACAUUUAAAAUGGAUUAAAACAUAAAAUUGUGGCCGUUUGAUUUAUUUCAUAUCCUUGUGCUAAUAUUAGGCACUUAUAUAAUGUGAAAGUUUAUGCGUUUAGAUAUUUUGAUGUAUCUUGUUUAAUCACGCUAAAAAAAGCUGUAUGGUUUUGGAUGAAUUUAGACACACGCUUAUAAAUCUAGGUACUCCUUCCUAUUUAAAACGAGUUUUCCGUGACACCACGGGGUAAACGGGUUUUUACUAGUUAAAACUAUUUAGUAUUAACUAGUUUAAACUCUAGGUCCAUGGGGUCCCAGUGCGCACAAGUUUUUUCUAAGCGAAGCGUCUAUUUGACGUAACAGCCGGCCUAGCCAAGGUGACAAUUGCUAUCGCUUCGACAACGAAUAGCUCUGUGUCUCUCUAUCACUCUUUCAUAUUAGUGCGACAGUGACAGUUGCGUUUCGAUCGCUACGGAGCGUAAGCGAUUUGCACGUUGGCUACGCGGCCUGGUGACCGAAGAGCUGUCAGCUUCCUCGCACAAUGUAUCAGUAUUAUUCAGUAUUGCGAUACAACGAGGAAAUGCCGCCACCAUCCUUGGUACAAUGCCUCAAGGGCCUAUUUUAGAUUUAAGCUAGUUAUAGUAAUCCUCUAUAUAUAUCCCUUAUGUAUAUUCUUAUAGUAAAUAUCAGUGUAACAAGUAGGAAAACCGCGUUUUACGUACAACAUAUUUUAUUUUUUUACUAUUUUUGUAAUAUGUGACAAUGUGCUCGAGUGUACAUACACAUUAGUCACAUAUUAUAUAGCUAUUAAAAAGCGUGUGUUUGUUCAUUUCUGUGGCAGAACUCGAACCGAAUAUGAAGACUAUAGUUGCGCUGUGUUUCAUGGUUCUAUUAGGGCUAGCGGUCGCCCAGGACCGUGGGCCGUGCGGCUGCGCAAAGACCUACGAUUUUUGCGCCAACGACUACCAAACAUACCACAGCAUCUGCGAGUACAAGUGCAAACAUCCCUCCGUCCAGUUUCAAGACUGGUUUGUACUAUACCAGGGAGAGUGCCAGUCAGCCUGAUAUUUUGUCCAAUAGAUGGAGUUACUAUGUAUGUGGCAUUAAAAAUUAAAACCUU